GGAAAGGUUAAUCAGAGAAGGUAAUAAUCCUGUAGUCGAAAACGAAUUCUCUCUUGAGUGGAUCCUGAGUACGACGGAGCACGUGAAAUUCCGUCGGAAUCUGGGAGGACCAUCUCCUAAGGCUAAAUACUCUCUAGUGACCGAUAGUGAACCAGUACCGUGAGGGAAAGGUGAAAAGUACCCCGGAAGGGGAGUGAAAGAGAACUUGAAACCGUGUGCUUACAAGUAGUCAGAGCCCGUUAAUGGGUGAUGGCGUGCCUUUUGUAGAAUGAACCGGCGAGUUACGAUCUGAUGCAAGGUUAAGCAGAAAAUGUGGAGCCGUAGCGAAAGCGAGUCUGAAUAGGGCGAAUGAGUAUUUGGUCGUAGACCCGAAACCAGGUGAUCUACCCUUGGUCAGGUUGAAGUUCAGGUAACACUGAAUGGAGGACCGAACCGACUUACGUUGAAAAGUGAGCGGAUGAACUGAGGGUAGCGGAGAAAUUCCAAUCGAACUUGGAGAUAGCUGGUUCUCUCCGAAAUAGCUUUAGGGCUAGCCUCAAGUGAUGAUUAUUGGAGGUAGAGCACUGUUUGGACGAGGGGCCCCUCUCGGGUUACCGAAUUCAGACAAACUCCGAAUGCCAAAUAAUUUAACUUGGGAGUCAGAAUGUGGGUGAUAAGGUCCAUAUUCGAAAGGGAAACAGCCCAGACCACCAGCUAAGGUCCCAAAAUAUAUGUUAAGUGGAAAAGGAUGUGGCGUUGCCCAGACAACUAGGAUGUUGGCUUAGAAGCAGCCAUCAUUUAAAGAGUGCGUAAUAGCUCACUAGUCGAGUGACACUGCGCCGAAAAUGUACCGGGGCUAAACAUAU
rnacentral:rRNA from 1 species